rnacentral:sRNA from 1 species
AAGUACAUACUCGUUGAACGUCAAAAGA